GAGCGCACGUGGUGCCCAGCUGCGGUCUGCUGGUUCGCUCCACAGACAUUUACCGAGCACGCGCUCUGGGCCAUCCCUGUGGCGUCUGAGGGCAGGGAGGGCGGCAGUGAGCAGAGCAUGCCCUCGGGGCCUCACUCUCCCACUGCAGGACACAGGGGAUCAGACAAGCCUGUGCCUUAUGCAGAAUGGGAGACGGCGUAAGUGCAGAGCAGGGUAGGCGACACGGGAAGGACAAUUUUCAAUUUGGGGGGGAGGUCGGAGAAGUUCUCAUUAAGGCAACAUUGAGAACAGACUGAAGGAGAUGAGGGAGCAAGGUGGGAGAAGUGCAGAGGGAGCUGCAAGUGCAAUGGGCCUGAGGCACCAAGCAGAGGGAGGCAGGAGUGGGCUGACGCCUCCAAGAACAGCGAGAAGGCCGGUGAGGCUGGAGUGAAGUGAGUGAGGAGCGGAUAUGGUGGGCACUGAGGCCCGAGCUGUGUGGGCCCCGGGGAACUGCCAGGCUCCGGUGUCCAUCCUGUGCGAGGUGGUUUGGAGGGUUUGAGUAGAGAAGUAUCCCAUUCGGACUUGCAGCAGGAUCACACUGCGACUGUGCUCGAGGCUGCUGCAGGAACCUGGGCAGGUCACGGUGGCGGCUUGGCCCAGGUGCUGACAGCGGAGGCGAUGAGCAGUGCUCUGUCUGGACGUCUUCAGAAGGCAGGCCACAGACUUUGGCAACGUGAGGUGUGAGAGAGGAACACAUCCCAGGAGGAACCCCAGGGCCGGGCAGAGCGCCUGCAGGGCAGGGCUGCUGAGAUGGGAAGGUGGGCAGGUGUGGGGGCUGUCUGCGACAUCUGGGCGUCAGCCAGGCGGAGGGGGCGAGCCACACUAGGCGACAUCGCCUGCAGCUCAGUGGAGCAGGCCCAGUGCAGGUGUCUCACGUGGGGGCUGUCAGAGCACAGAGUACAGACGUGAUUGUUAAAACUACAGCUCUGUGUGGGGUCACGGGGGACAGUAGGGGACAGCUAGCAGAGGAAAGGUCCAGGGCUGGAGGACGGGCAUUCUGAUGCAGGAGGCUGGGGAGAUGAGGAGGAACCAGCCCUGGUGCAGAGAAGGAGCAGCCAGGGAGUGGGAGACGCCACGAGGCCUGUGCAGAAAUGCGCCAGACAAGGAAGUGCACCACAUGAGGAAGUGUGCCAGAUGAGGAAGUGUGCCAGACCUGGAAGUGCACCAGGUGAGGAAGUGCCUCCAGGUGAGGAAGUGUCACCAGGUGAGGAAGUGCUCCAGGUGAGGAAGUGCUCCAGGUGAGGAAGUGCUCCAGGUGAGGAAUUGUCUCCAGGUGAGGAAGUGCUCCAGGU
rnacentral:lncRNA from 1 species